rnacentral:RNase_P_RNA from 5 species
CUUUUUCAGGAAUGAUCGCCUGUUUGUUUUUUCAAAACAGGAGGAAAGUCCGAACAGCUUUUAAGACGCUGUAAUAGCUAAUGACUAUCAUUUUAGGGUAAUGCCUAAAAUAGGACCAGUGCCACAGAGACAAUACUAACCCUCCGAAACCUUGGUGUAGGAGGGCAAAAGGUGAAAAGCCCUCGCUCAGCAGGGACCCUAUAUCAGUAAUGAUAUUGGAUUGGCAAACUCUACAGGCUGCAAGAUUAUAUGGGAAGACUGGAUUUACGCAACAAAGUCUCAAAUGCGCCAGCUUCAUAAUCGCUUAAGUUCUAUAGUGAUAUAGAAAUUAGAUAGAUGAUCAACCCUUCGAAGCUUUAGCAUAGGAGGAACAGGAUUCGGCUUAUGACUGAAAAAGGGGC